rnacentral:rRNA from 1 species
GUGCCAGCAGCCGCGGUAAUACAGAGGGUGCAAGCGUUGUUCGGAAUUAUUGGGCGUAAAGCGCGUGUAGGCGGUCAUCUAAGUCUGGUGUGAAAUCCCUCGGCUCAACUGAGGAAGUGCAUUGGAUACUGGAUGACUAGAGGAUGAGAGAGGAGAGUGGAAUUCCCGGUGUAGGGGUGAAAUCCGUAGAUAUCGGGAGGAACACCAGAGGCGAAGGCGGCUCUCUGGCUCAUUUCUGACGCUGAGACGCGAAAGCGUGGGGAGCAAACAGGAUUAGAUACCCUCGUAGUCC